UUUAAUAGAUUCGACGUCAAGCGUCUUUCGUACGCAAAGGAAACCAGAAACCGCAUUUCCUUUCCUUCUAGCUUCAUGGUCGGCCAGCUGCUGCAGAGGAAACAACCAAAGACUUCAACAUUUCCUCUUCCAAAAUUCACCAAAUCACUACCAAAACUUCCAUAGAUUCUCACCAAACUUCACAUUCAUUUAGUUUUUUACUUGGACAACAACUUAGGCUGGAAAAGGGAGGAGUUUCACGGCUGUCUUCAGGCUUCAUAGGGUCCGAAAUUUUCUGAUUUGAACAGCCAUCAAAGUAGGCGCUCAAGAGGACCUUCCAGAGGAUCUCACGGGAGACGCCUAAACCAUCAUUUGAACUCGCUACUUGAAUCACAGUUGGAUUGGGAGAUUUUGGAAAAGCCGACUAGAUUAUACUUUUGAUUGGAAUUUGGGCUGUAAAUGUGUAGUCGACUUUUAGUGGUUGUAUUUUGGGACUUGAUAUAUCUUUUGUGAACAUGAUGUAAGAUUUGAAUAUUUAGUUAAGGAAGCGACUUUUCU